UACGUAGGGUGCAAGCGUUGUCCGGAAUUAUUGGGCGUAAAGAGCUCGUAGGCGGCUUGUCGCGUCGGCUGUGAAAACCUGGGGCUCAACCCCGGGCCUGCAGCCGAUACGGGCAAGCUAGAAUUCGGUAGGGGAGACUGGAAUUCCUGGUGUAGCGGUGAAAUGCGCAGAUAUCAGGAGGAACACCCGUGGCUAAGGCGGUUCUCUAGUACGGUACUGACGCUGAGACGCGAAAGCGUGGGGAGCGAACAGG
rnacentral:rRNA from 1 species